rnacentral:rRNA from 1 species
UUAAAUGAUGGGUCUGCGUAUCAUUAGUUAGUUGGUAAGGUAACGGCUUACCAAGACAUCGAUGAUUAGCUGGUCUGAGAGGAUGAUCAGCCACACUGGGACUGAGAUACGGCCCAGACUCCUACGGGAGGCAGCAGUGAGGAAUAUUGCACAAUGGGGGCAACCCUGAUGCAGCAACGCCGCGUGUACGAAGAAUCUGAUUACAGUGUAAAGUACUGUUAGAAGGGACGAAAUAUUUGAUUAGGAGUCAAAUUUGCCGGUACCUUCUAAGAAAGCUCCGGCUAACUCCGUGCCAGCAGCCGCGGUAAUACGGGGGGAGCAAGCGUUGUCCGGAAUCAUUGGGCGUAAAGGGCAUGUAGGUGGUAUAUUAAGUCAGUUUUUAAAUGUCACGGCUUAACCGUGGACUGGAAUUGAAACUGGUAUACUUGAGUAUGAGAGGGGACAGAGGAAUACCUAGUGUAGCGGUGGAAUGCGUAGAUAUUAGGUAGAACACCCGAGGCGAAGGCGUCUGUCUGGCUCAUUACUGACACUGAAAUGCGAAAGCAUGGGUAGCGAACAGGAUUAGAUACCCUGGUAGUCCAUGCCGUAAACGAUGGAUACUAGGUGUCGGGGGACUAGCCCCCUCGGUGCCGUAGCAAACGCGUUAAGUAUCCCGCCUGGGGGAGUACGAUCGCAAGGUUGAAACUCAAAGGAAUUGACGGGGGG